rnacentral:rRNA from 1 species
UACGGAGGGUGCAAGCGUUAAUCGGAAUUACUGGGCGUAAAGCGUGCGCAGGCGGUUUGUUAAGUCCGUUGUGAAAUCCCCGAGCUCAACUUGGGAAUUGCAGUGGAUACUGGCAGGCUGGAGUACGGUAGAGGAAGGUGGAAUUCCCGGUGUAGCAGUGAAAUGCGUAGAGAUCGGGAGGAACACCAGUGGCGAAGGCGGCCUUCUGGACCAGUACUGACGCUCAUGCACGAAAGCGUGGGGAGCAAACAGG